GGGUCCAUAGCUCAGUUGGUAGAGCACCUGACUUUUAAUCAGGGUGUCGAAGGUUCGAAUCCUUCUGGACCCACCA
rnacentral:tRNA from 1 species